rnacentral:pre_miRNA from 1 species
AGCCUUCUGAACCCGUGACGAGAUUUCUUCAGAUGCUAGACCAUCAAUACAGAAGAGACUCCCAAGAUAAAUGAAGUG